AUGCAUGUGAUCCUCGAUCGUGCGUGCCACAACCACCGGUCCAAGGCCGCAUUGCGUUGCGUCGCUGUUCAUCCAUCGAGCAUGGCAACCGGUACACCGGCGGUGAACAUCGAUCGAGCAAGCAAACAAACGAAAGAAGUGAAAGAAUCCACCGCGGAGACUUGCUUUGAAUUUAAUUCGGGAUCAAAUAACGACAUAACAAAUGGACAGACGGCAGGGAGAAAAUGUGAAGAAAAUACAAGAACGUCCAAGAAGAAGGAAGCUACGGAGAGAGAUGUACUGGUGACGACAAGACGGACUGGCUGGCUGACGACGAGCGUUCCGGCCGUGGAGGUGGCGGCCGGACGGGCCGACCGAUCAGCCUGCGGCUACUACCUAGCUAGCAGCUAG
rnacentral:rRNA from 1 species